rnacentral:lncRNA from 1 species
UAUGCUUCUGAAUCCAGAAUUGGUAGGAUAUGAAUUGAAUAUCUAAAUUCAUGCCCCUUCCAGAUAUCGAUGCAGGUUCAGAAUUUUUUUAAACUGAUUUUUACCUUUUUAAAUAUUGAAUGGUCCAGAUACAGAUAUGUAUAUAUCAUCCACAAACAGAUAAGGAUAUCCAGAUAUCUGGAUGCGGAUAUGGAUGAGGACACUGUCAUCAGCAUAUUACAAGCAUGGUUCUCUUUUUUUUAAAUCUUAGUUUCAUAUAAAAGUUUUACUGUGGUCAUUUCAUUAGUUUCAUAUUGUUUGAUUUAGAGACUAAUUUUUUCAACAGAUCCUUGGUUUGUCCCAUUAUUUUUAAUUUUAU